CUUGCUCAGCCUAUUCUCGUCUCCUCUAUUCACUUCCCUGUCUUUCUACACUUAAGAUAGCUACCGCUAGCAUAUCUUCCUUUUUCCUCAUUUUACGUUCUUCCUCCAUCUCCCUAUUCAUAUAUACUGUAUUUGCAAUCUCCAUUAGCUGUAAUAUGGACAACCCUACAAAUCCCUCAAAUUUCUGUAAUUUCCUUUUAAUAUCACCUUGGGCCUGGCUGACAAAUGCUGAGUCUAUCAUUUGGAAGUUUUCAGGGGCUUCAGGAUUGAAAAGAGUGUACAAUCUAUUUGACUCAAACAGUAUCUAAUAUGGGACUUCGGCAAG